GCUACUGCGAUCCGUCAGCGCGCUCGGGAGGCUCCGCCAGGACGCGCAAUGACGCCAUCAACUCCACCGACGCGAUUACAACGGAUCCGUCCGCGGUGACAUCACCAGAGAAAGACGAGAACCUCCAUCUGAGCUUCAACAGCACCAAACACACAUCUGCAUACUGCAUGUGUGUUUAGUGAAGAGAACAUAGACUUACAAUCCUGGACAUACUGGCCCUUAAAAUGGCUGCUGCAGACACUGACUGAUUCCUGUGGAAAUAAACAAUGAGGAUGAUGAAGAGGAUGAUGGUGGAAGCGGCGCCACCUGCUGCUCAAGUGGAGAACUGUGUUUAUUCAAGCCAUUCAGAAAAGCAUCUUGUGAACUGUGACUUCUCUUCUUUUGCCUCUCUGAAAGAUCGAAACGCAACCUCGUCUCCUGGAGGAAGAGUUAACAAGAAACACAGUCAGUUUCUCAUUUUUACAGCAUGUCAAGCAUAAUUGCUGAUUUAGAGAGUGGAGAUAAUGUUAUAGAUUUCAGGAGGAAAGUUUGAGGAUUACAGCCUUUAUAAACAGAUUAUUCUUGAAUAAAUACAGGAACAUAUGCAAAUAAAACAGAGUACAUUCUCGUAUCCCAGGUUAAUGUUCAGAGUAAACGAUAAGUAAGUAAUCUGUACAAUCAACCGAUUGUGUUUCUGUGGCUUUAUAAACACGCUGAUCUGUUUAUUCAAUCAUCAAAAUAUAGGCUUUCCCUUAUUAUAUGAUCAUAUUUUACCCUGAAGUCUUGAUGUUGAUUUAUGCACACAUUAUAUAUCAACUAUCCGUACACACUGUAAAAAAAUAAUUUUUUUCACCCUUAAACUCUGUUAUUUUUGUCACUUCUGCUCCAUAUGAGCAAAUCUGCAGAAUGAUACAAUGUUUCAAUAAAUUCCGUUAGUUAAUACAUAUUGUAACAACACAUUUGUUACAGUAGCCUAUUUAUCAAUCGUUGUUUGCAACAGUUAGUUCAUAUCAGCUCAGGUCCAUUAAAUAAUAUUAAUAGAUACAACUUUUGAUUUUAAUAAUGUAUUAGUAAAUGUUGAAAUGAAUAUAAACUGAGAUUAAUAAAUGCUGUAGAAGUAUUGUUCAGUGUUAGUUCAUGUUAACUAAUGGUAACAAAUCAGAUCUUAUCGUAAAGUGACACUAAUGCAUUCUUAUCAAAGAGCUGAAAAUAUGAUUGAAUUAGCCAAAAUAUGUAAUAAACAAACAUGCAAGUGAUCAGGAUGUGUAGAAACGGGGGUAAAUUAAUGGGAAAAGCAAUUGGUAAAAUCAAUCCAAUACAGAAAUGUUGACAGCUAAAUCUAAUAGACAAUGUUUGUCAGAAAUGCGAGUAGUUUCACUGCUUCAUCUGUUCAUAUUUUUACUGCUUGCUGAAUUACAGUUCAUUUAAAGCCUGAUAUAAGUGUGUUCAGCUUUAUCUGCAUACACACAGUACACUCAUGUAAAGCAGUAUAUACUAAAUAUCAAAUAUAUAUGAAAUCUCAACUGCUUGAUUGUUUAUAUCGUUUCAGCUCUAAUCUGAUAAAUGCAACUUUAAGGUAUGAAGAUAUUAAUAUAUUAUAAACAUUAACAUCAUGAUUUUCUGUAGAAGCUGCUUUGAAAUGAUGUGUGUUGUGAAAUCGUUAUAUAAAUAAAUCCGACUUGACUUUU